rnacentral:lncRNA from 1 species
GGAUUUCUUCACCCCGAACCAGGGGUCUAACCACCGCUAAAGGCCCAUAACAUAGAGGCCCACGUAUCUGAUAUACCCAACAAGCCUGGCUCAUUCAACCUUCAAGACCGGGCUCGGCCCAGCUUCUUCAUAACGGCCCAGCCCACACGAAGCAGGCUCUCUCCUCUCAAGCCUAGCGUCCGGCCUGACUUUCGGCCCAACCCAGGAUCCAGAAUAAUAUUCACCAGACAGCCUGGC